rnacentral:rRNA from 1 species
AACAAACGCUGGCGGCGUGCCUAACACAUGCAAGUCGUACGAGAAAGGGUCCUUCGGGGCCUGAGUAAAGUGGCGCACGGGUGAGUAACGCGUGGAUAAUCUGCCCUUCAGUUGGGAAUAACUCAUCGAAAGGUGGGCUAAUACCGAAUAAUGCUGUGAGACCUCGGUUGAUCAGCCAAAGAGAGCCUCUGCUUGCAAGCCCUCGCUGAAGGAUGAGUCCGCGUACCAUUAGCUAGUUGGUAGGGUAAUGGCCUACCAAGGCGACGAGGGUUAGCUGGUCUGAGAGGAUGAUCAGCCACACUGGAACUGAGACACGGUCCAGACUCCUACGGGAGGCAGCAGUGAGGAAUCUUGCGCAAUGGGGGCAACCCUGACGCAGCAACGCCGCGUGAGUGAGGAAGGUCUUCGGAUCGUAAAGCUCUGUCGGAUGGAAAGAACCGCAUAGGGGUAAACAGCCCCUGUGUCUGACGGUACCAUCAAAGGAAGCACCGGCUAACUCCGUGCCAGCCGCCGCAGUAAGAC